AUGUUACACUACAAUAAAACAUAUUGCCACAUUUAUAAUAAUAAAAAUAAUAAAAACACACUUUCACAGCUCUCGCUGCUGAAGGCCUUGAUUGACAGGCUGCUUCAGGAUGGGAUGGAGGAGCUUCUUCAUGAGAUCAGCACCAGCAGAAGAGUGAAAGGAGACAGACAGGAGCCGGACUCAAACAUCAUCACUGAAUACACCAGCUCAGUGAAGUACAGUCACCCACAAGAGUCAUUACCUGAUACAGAUUUAACUGAGGAAGAGGCUGAUCUUGAAGAGGGGCAGAUGCCUGAGCCCAGUCCUGUAUCAAAGCCUGUUGCAGAAAAAGAAGUGGGUCCUAUACUUUCGAACAUCUCUGCUAUUCCCAAAAAGGCCAACCAGAGUAAAACCAAAGACAAGAUGGUAGAUGUUGACGAAAAGGAACUUGUGGAGACCAACUUCAGUGAUGUAACACCUUUGAAAUUUCUCCAAACCAACACUUCCUCUGAGAGGUUGGGCUCUGGGAAGGUAGAGGUAAGUAUGGAGACAGUCUUCCACAGCCAUGAGGACACGGGGAAGAAAACAUCUGGAGAGAAGAAGAAAGGCAGAGAGAGGGGAAAGGCCAAAGGAAAUAAAGGACGUCAAAAACGACAAAGGAAACGUUUGGAAGCUCAAGACAACAUGGAAGAGGAGGUUGAGGAAGCAUCAUAUGAUGAUGAGGAAUAUGAAUAUGAGGACGAGCUGCACAUAGAAGAGCCCUUUCCCUCUCGAGAGGAGGAAGGCGAAAGGGAGGAGGUUAGUAUUAUUAAAAUCAAAUCUGAUCACAAUAAACACACAUAUACGUACACAACUGGAAGCGCUACUGCAGACAGUGUCACAGUUUAG
rnacentral:lncRNA from 1 species